rnacentral:rRNA from 1 species
CAAUAGCGUAUAUUAAAGUUGUUGCAGUUAAAAAGCUCGUAGUUGAACUUCUGCGUACCUUCAGUUCUGGCUCCGGUCAAGCUGAUGCGUGCGCAUCCGCUUGCAAACCCGGACCGGCCUUCACUGGUCGACCGGGGGAGUAAGCCCUUUACUUUGAAAAAUUAGAGUGUUUCAGGCAGGCAAUGGCUCGAAUACAUUAGCAUGGAAUAAUGGAAUAGGACUUUUGUCCAUUUGGUUGGUUAUUGGACAUGAGUAAUGAUUAAAAGGGACAGUUGGGGGCAUUAGUAUUUAAUUGUCAGAGGUGAAAUUCUUGGAUUUAUUAAAGACUAACUUAUGCGAAAGCAUUUGCCAAGGAUGUUUUCAUUAAUCAAGAACGAAAGUUAGGGGAUCAAAGAUGAUUAGAUACCGU